UGAUCUUUCUAACGGCAGUGAGAACACUGUUGGGUUAUGAAAUGCUUAAAUAUAAUCUAAUCUUUUAAAUUUUCGAUCUGAACAUCGUAUUAACCCCGAAAGCGCCAUCGUCGACAAUGCUAAAAGAAAUCUUCAUAUUGCCUAUCCCGACAGUUAUUUUUGAUUGGCGAAGAAUCAGUGCUGAAAUCAUAUCAAAAUUUCUAAAAAUGUAAAUCUAAAAUGUUAUGUUUUACCGCAUUAAACAUUUGUUUUCGUAACAUCA